rnacentral:rRNA from 1 species
GCCCAGACUCCUACGGGAGGCAGCAGUGAGGAAUAUUGGUCAAUGGUCGGGAGACUGAACCAGCCAAGCCGCGUGAGGGAUGAAGGUACAGAGUAUCGUAAACCUCUUUUGUCAGGGAACAAAGGCGGGGACGUGUCCCCGGAUGAGUGUACCUGAAGAAAAAGCAUCGGCUAACUCCGUGCCAGCAGCCGCGGUAAUACGGAGGAUGCGAGCGUUAUCCGGAUUUACUGGGUGUAAAGGGCGUGUAGGCGGGCAUGCAAGCCAGAAGUGAAAUCUGGGGGCUUAACCCCCAAACUGCUUUUGGAACUGCGUGUCUUGAGUGAUGGAGAGGCAGGCGGAAUUCCCAGUGUAGCGGUGAAAUGCGUAGAUAUUGGGAGGAACACCAGUGGCGAAGGCGGCCUGCUGGACAUUAACUGACGCUGAGGCGCGAAAGCGUGGGGAGCAAACAGGAUUAGAUACCCUAGUA